GCGGAAAUGGCUCAACGGUAGAGCAGUAGCUUCCCAAGCUGAAGGUUGCGGGUUCGAUUCCCGUUUUCCGCUCCA
rnacentral:tRNA from 1 species